CAGGUGAACGCUGGCGGUGUGCCUAAUACAUGCAAGUCGAACGCGUUGGCCCAAUUGAUUGAUGGUGCUUGCACCUGAUUGAUUUUGGUCGCCAACGAGUGGCGGACGGGUGAGUAACACGUAGGUAACCUGCCCAGAAGCGGGGGACAACAUUUGGAAACAGAUGCUAAUACCGCAUAACAACGUUGUUCGCAUGAACAACGCUUAAAAGAUGGCUUCUCGCUAUCACUUCUGGAUGGACCUGCGGUGCAUUAGCUUGUUGGUGGGGUAACGGCCUACCAAGGCGAUGAUGCAUAGCCGAGUUGAGAGACUGAUCGGCCACAAUGGGACUGAGACACGGCCCAUACUCCUACGGGAGGCAGCAGUAGGGAAUCUUCCACAAUGGGCGCAAGCCUGAUGGAGCAACACCGCGUGAGUGAAGAAGGGUUUCGGCUCGUAAAGCUCUGUUGUUAAAGAAGAACACGUAUGAGAGUAACUGUUCAUACGUUGACGGUAUUUAACCAGAAAGUCACGGCUAACUACGUGCCAGCAGCCGCGGUAAUACGUAGGUGGCAAGCGUUAUCCGGAUUUAUUGGGCGUAAAGAGAGUGCAGGCGGUUUUCUAAGUCUGAUGUGAAAGCCUUCGGCUUAACCGGAGAAGUGCAUCGGAAACUGGAUAACUUGAGUGCAGAAGAGGGUAGUGGAACUCCAUGUGUAGCGGUGGAAUGCGUAGAUAUAUGGAAGAACACCAGUGGCGAAGGCGGCUACCUGGUCUGCAACUGACGCUGAGACUCGAAAGCAUGGGUAGCGAACAGGAUUAGAUACCCUGGUAGUCCAUGCCGUAAACGAUGAGUGCUAGGUGUUGGAGGGUUUCCGCCCUUCAGUGCCGGAGCUAACGCAUUAAGCACUCCGCCUUGGGAAU
rnacentral:rRNA from 2 species